CAGUCGAGGGGUAUUGUUCUUCGGAAUGAGAGACCGGCGCACGGGUGCGUAAUGCGUAUGCAAUCUACCUUUCACAGAGGGAUAGCCCAGAGAAAUUUGGAUUAAUACCUCAUAGCAUAAUGAGUUGGCAUCAACACAUUAUUAAAGUCACAACGGUGAAAGAUGAGCAUGCGUCCCAUUAGCUAGUUGGUAAGGUAACGGCUUACCAAGGCUACGAUGGGUAGGGGUCCUGAGAGGGAGAUCCCCCACACUGGUACUGAGACACGGACCAGACUCCUACGGGAGGCAGCAGUGAGGAAUAUUGGUCAAUGGGCGCAAGCCUGAACCAGCCAUGCCGCGUGCAGGAUGACGGUCCUAUGGAUUGUAAACUGCUUUUGUACGGGAAGAAACACUCCGACGUGUCGGAGCUUGACGGUACCGUAAGAAUAAGGAUCGGCUAACUCCGUGCCAGCAGCCGCGGUAAUACGGAGGAUCCAAGCGUUAUCCGGAAUCAUUGGGUUUAAAGGGUCCGUAGGCGGUUUAGUAAGUCAGUGGUGAAAGCCCAUCGCUCAACGGUGGAACGGCCAUUGAUACUGCUAGACUUGAAUUAUUGGGAAGUAACUAGAAUAUGUAGUGUAGCGGUGAAAUGCUUAGAGAUUACAUGGAAUACCAAUUGCGAAGGCAGGUUACUACCAAUGGAUUGACGCUGAUGGACGAAAGCGUGGGUAGCGAACAGGAUUAGAUACCCUGGUAGUCCACGCCAUAAACGAUGGAUACUAGCUGUUGGGAGCAAUCUCAGUGGCUAAGCGAAAGUGAUAAGUAUCCCACCUGGGGAGUACGUUCGCAAGAAUGAAACUCAA
rnacentral:rRNA from 1 species